CAGCACCUAGUGCUGGCUGUCCCGCUGUCUACACAACAGUGGUUAGCAAGGGCCGGGCAAGACCGGUGCCAGCCGCCGCGGUAACACCGGCGGCCCGAGUGGUAGCCGCUAUUAUUGGGUUUAAAGGGCCCGUAGCCGGCCUAUUAAGUCUCUUGGGAAAUCUGGCGGCUUAAUCGUCAGGCGUCCAAGAGAUACUGGUAGGCUUGGGACCGGGAGAGGUGGGAGGUACUCCAGGGGUAGGGGUGAAAUCUCGUAAUCCUUGGGGGACCACCGAUGGCGAAGGCAUCCCACCAGAACGGGUCCGACGGUGAGGGACGAAAGCUGGGGGCACGAACCGGAUUAGAUACCCGGGUAGUCCCAGCUGUAAACGAUGCUCGCUAGGUGUCAGGUGCGGUGCGACCGCAUCUGGUGCCGCAGUGAAAACUUGAAGCGAGUCACCUGGGAAGUACGGUCGCAAGGCUGAAACUUAAAGGAAUUGGCGGGGGAGCACUACAACGGGUGGAGCCUGCGGUUCAAUUGGAUUCAACGCCGGAAAGCUUACCGGACUCGACAGCACUAUGAAGGUCAGGCUAAAGACCUUACCGAAUUCGCUGAGAGGUAGUGCAUGGCC
rnacentral:rRNA from 1 species